GCAAGAUACCACGGGCGCACGGCGGAUGCCUUGGCACAGGGAGCCGAUGAAGGACGCGGCAAGCUGCGAUAAUCCCCGGCGAGGAGCACACAUCCUUCGACCCGGGGGUCUCCGAAUGGGCGAACCCAUCCACAGAGGUGUGGAUAUCCCCACCCCGAACACAUAGGGGCGGGGAGGACAACCCGGGGAACUGAAACAUCUAAGUACCCGGAGGAGAGGAAAUCAAUCUCGAGACUCCCCGAGUAGCGGCGAGCGAAAGGGGACCGAUGGCCAAACCGUCGAGCGGGCGUACCCGGCAGGGGUUCCGCCGACGGGGUUGCAGGGCCGCGCAUCCGGGGGCUGCCGCCCCCGGGCGCAGGUCCGGCUGGGGAGCGGAACGGCAUGGGAGGGCCGGCCGCAGCGGGUGACAGCCCCGUACGCGAACCCAGACCGGACGGCGCGACGCGGUCCCUGAGUAGGGCCGGGCACGUGAAACCCGGUCCGAACCUGGGUGGACCACCAUCCAAGCCUGAGUACUACCCUGUGACCGAUAGCGCACCAGUACCGUGAGGGAAAGGUGAAAAGCACCCCGGGAGGGGAGUGAAACAGUACCUGAAACCGUGCGCCCACGAGCAGUCGGAGCACCUAUACGGUGUGACGGCGUGCCUUUUGUAGAAUGAGCCAGCGAGUCGCUGGCGCGGGGCGAGGUUAACCGAAAGGGAGCCGGAGCGAAAGCGAGCCUUAACAGGGCGACUUGAGUCCCGCGCCGCGGACGCGAAGCCGGGUGAGCUAUCCGUGGGCAGGCUGAAGCGGGGGUAAGACCCCGUGGAGGGCCGAACGCACGUCGGUUGAAAACGGCGGCGAUGACCUGCGGAUAGGGGUGAAAGGCCAAUCAAACCCGGAGAUAUCUCGUUCUCCCCGAAAUAGCUUUAGGGCUAGCGUCGCGCGUUCACCGCCGGAGGUAGAGCACCGGAUGGACGAGGGGGCUUCGCCGCCUACCGAAUCCAACCGAACUCCGAAUGCCGGCGGCCCAGAGCGCGGCAGUCAGAGCAUGUGGGCUAAGCUGUGUGCUCGAGAGGGAAACAGCCCGGACCGCCCGCUAAGGUCCCCAAGUUCCAGCCGAGUGGCAAAGGAUGUGCGUCCGCCCAGACAACCAGGAUGUUGGCUUAGAAGCAGCCAUCCAUUCAAAGAGUGCGUAACAGCUCACUGGUCGAGUGGACAUGCGCCGACAAUACACGGGGCUAAGCUGGACACCGAAGCGGCGGGAUUUUGAUUUUCAGAAUCGGUAGGGGAGCUUCCCAUGGGCGGUGAAGCCGCCGGGCGACCGGCGGUGGAGCGCAUGGGAGUGAGAAUGCUGGCAUGAGUAGCGAGAGACGAGAGAGUAACUCGUCCGCCGUGAACCCGAGGUUUCCUGGGCAAGGCUAAUCCUCCCAGGGUCAGUCGGGGGCUAAGGCGAGGCCGGGAGGCGUAGCCGACGCGCAGCAGGCAGACAUUCCUGCACCGCGCACGCGGCGCUACGACCGACGGGGCGACGGAUGGGGGUGGCUCGGCGGGGUUCUGGACGUCCCCGUGAUGGAGCGCGGCCCGCGGACCAGGGAAAUCCGGUCCGCAGGAGGGCGAGGCUCCGGACGAAGCGAUUGAGCGAAGCGAGUGAGCCCGAGGUCCCUAGAAAAACCCCUAGGCAGGCGCGUGCGCGCCCGUACCGCAAACCGACACAGGUGGGUGGGUAGAACAUACCGAGGCGAUCGGGUCAACCAUGGUCAAGGAACUCGGCACAAUGGCCCCGUAACUUCGGGAGAAGGGGUGCCCGCGCGUACGUGAACGGACUUGCUCCGGGAGCGGAGGCGGGCCGCAGUGGAGAGGCCCAAGCGACUGUUUACCAAAAACACAGGACUCUGCAGAAGCCGCAAGGCGACGUAUAGGGUCUGACGCCUGCCCGGUGCCGGAAGGUCACGCGGAGGAGUUAGCCGCAAGGCGAAGCCCCGAAGCCAAGCCCCGGUAAACGGCGGCCGUAACUAUAACGGUCCUAAGGUAGCGAAAUUCCUUGUCGGGUAAGUUCCGACCUGCACGAAAGGCGCAACGACUUGGGCGCUGUCUCGACCAUGGACCCGGUGAAAUUGCACUGGUCGUGAAGAUGCGACUUACCCGCGGAAGGACGGAAAGACCCCGUGAACCUUCACUGCAGCUUGGCAUUGGCCGCUGGUCCCGCGUGUAGAGGAUAGGCAGGAGGCACAGAUCCGGAGGCGCCAGCCCCCGGGGAGCCGCCCUUGGAAUACUGCCCUCGCGCGACCGGCGUCCUAACCCGAGGCCGUCAACCGGCUCGGGGACCGUGCCAGGCGGGCAGUUUGACUGGGGCGGUCGCCUCCUAAAGGGUAACGGAGGCGCGCGAAGGUCCGCUCGGGACGGUCGGCAACCGUCCUUUUGAAUGCAAGAGUACAAGCGGGCUUGACUGCGAGGCCCACAAGCCGAGCAGGUGCGAAAGCAGGCUCUAGUGAUCCGGCGGCCCCGAGUGGGUGGGCCGUCGCUCAACGGAUAAAAGGUACUCCGGGGAUAACAGGCUGAUCUUGCCCAAGAGUCCACAUCGACGGCAAGGUUUGGCACCUCGAUGUCGGCUCAUCGCAUCCUGGGGCUGGAGCAGGUCCCAAGGGUACGGCUGUUCGCCGUUUAAAGCGGUACGCGAGCUGGGUUCAGAACGUCGUGAGACAGUUCGGUCCCUAUCCUCCGUGGGCGCAGGAGAAUCGAUGGAGGCUGCCCCCAGUACGAGAGGACCGGGGUGGACGCACCUCCGGUGAACCGGUUGUCGACCAACGGCACGGCCGGGUAGCCGCGUGCGGCGCGGAUAACCGCUGAAGGCAUCUAAGCGGGAAGCCGUUCCAGGGAUUAGUUCUCCUUCCGGUAAGGGCCCAGGUAGACUACCUGGUCGAUAGACGGCAGGUGCAAGGCUGGCGACAGCCUCAGCCGAGCCGCACUAAUCGCCCGAGCUCUUCC
rnacentral:rRNA from 1 species